rnacentral:rRNA from 1 species
AACGAACGCUGGCGGCAUGCCUAACACAUGCAAGUCGAACGAGCCCUUCGGGUCUUUUCGCGCACGGCUGCGUAACGCGUGGGAACCUUCACUCAUGUUCAGAAUAACUCUCCGAAAGGGGUACUAAUACCGGAUAGUGUCUACGGACCAAAAAUUUAUCGCCUUUGAUGGUUCCCGCGUUGAAUUAGCUAGUUGUGAGGGUAAUAGCAUACCAAGGCGACGAUCCAUAGCUGGUUAGAGAGGAUGAUCAGCCACUCUGAGACUGAGACCCGGCCGAGAAUCCUACGGGAGGCAGCAGUGGGGGAUAGUGGACAAUGGGGGGAGGCAUGAUCCAGCAAUGCCGCGUGAGCUAUGAAGGCCGGAGGGUAGUAAAGUUCUAUUACCCGGGAUGAUAUUGACAGUACCGGGAGAGUAAGCUCCGGCUAACUACGUG